rnacentral:rRNA from 1 species
GAUGAACGCUGGCGGCGUGCCUAAUACAUGCAAGUCGAGCGAACAGACGAGGAGCUUGCUCCUCUGACGUUAGCGGCGGACGGGUGAGUAACACGUGGAUAACCUACCUUUAAGACUGGGAUAACUUCGGGAAACCGGAGCUAAUACCGGAUAACAUAUUGAACCGUAUGGUUCAAUAGUGAAAGACGGAUUUGCUGUCACUUAUAGUUGGAUCCGCGUCGCUUUAGCUAGUUGGUAAGGUAACGGCUUACCAAGGCAACGAUGCGUAACCGACCUGAGAGGGUGGUCGGCCACACUGGAACUGGAACAGGGUCCAGACUCCUACGGGAGGCGGCAGUGGGGAAUCUUCCGCAAUGGGCGAAGGCCUGACGGAGCAACGCCGCGUGGGUGAUAAAGGUCUUCGGAUCGUAAAACUCUGUUAUUGGGAAAGAACAAAUGUGUAAGUAACUAUGCACGUCUUGACGGUACCUAAUCAGAAAGCCACGGCUAACUACGUG